rnacentral:hammerhead_ribozyme from 1 species
AUCCAGCUGACGAGUCCCAAAUAGAACGAAACGCGCGUUAAUCUGGAU